UGGCUCAGGACGAACGCUGGCGGCAUGCCUAACACAUGCAAGUCGAACGGAGUAAUGACUUCGGUUAUUACUUAGUGGCGAACGGGUGAGUAACACGUGAAUAAUCUGCCCUGUACGAUGGGAUAACAGCUGGAAACGGCUGCUAAUACCGUAUAUGACCACGCCGAGGCAUCUCGGAGGGGUGAAAGCGCUUAAGCGGUACAGGAUGAGUUCGCGUCCAAUUAGCUAGUUGGUGAGGUAACGGCCCACCAAGGCGACGAUUGGUAGCCGACCUGAGAGGGUGAUCGGCCACACUGGAACUGAGACACGGUCCAGACUCCUACGGGAGGCAGCAGUGGGGAAUAUUGGGCAAUGGAGGAAACUCUUACCCAAGCAAUGCCGCGUGAGUGAUGAAGGUCUUCGGAUUGUAAAGCUCUUUGAUUGGGGACGAAUAAAUGACGGUACCCAAGGAACAAGCCCCGGCUAACUAUGUGCCAGCCGCGGC
rnacentral:rRNA from 1 species